rnacentral:rRNA from 1 species
UACAGGGGGGGCAAGCGUUGUUCGGAAUUACUGGGCGUAAAGGGUCAGUAGGCGGCCAACUAAGUCCGACGUGAAAUCCCAAAGCUUAACUUUGGAACUGCGUCGGAUACUGGAUGGCUUGAAUUCGGGAGAGGGAUGCAGAAUUCCAGGUGUAGCGGUGAAAUGCGUAGAUAUCGUAAGGAAGACCAGUGGCGAAGGCGGGUCUCUGGACAGUUCCUGACGCUGAGGCACGAAGGCCAGGGGAGCAAACGGG